UACACAGUGUGUGUUUCAACUAGUGGCAUACAGGUGCAAAAAAUAAAUCCUGCUUUGCAACCCAGAACUCAUUGAUCAGUAUGAGUUUUGAUAUAUACAAGCAUUUAUAAA
ensembl:snoRNA